rnacentral:lncRNA from 1 species
CCAGUGUGAGCCAAGUCCAGCAACCACCCGGAUGGUCCCCCAAUGCAGAUGGGAAGUAAAGUCAGGUGCUUCGUGAUAUUGCGUGGGCUUCUAAUAAACGGCCAGUAAACCGCAGGUAGCGCCUCGGAGACCCAUGGCUCUGUGCACCUGUCCACGAAGGCCGUCCACACACGGUGCCUCUGCCGUCCGAGGCCCAGCCCCGGCACGGGUGGCUCCCCAGCCCGACCUGCCCCCAGCCUGCCCCUCCGGACGCUGACAGGUUUUCUAUUUCAGAGCGACAGUGGUGCACCCUCCCCUCCCCGUCCCCCACGUGAAAGCCAGAACAUUGUCACCCAAGGCGCGCUUUGGGGGUUGUCCGAGUCACAGACCCAAGUCUGCAUGGGAGGCGCAUCUCGGCAGCCAGGAACGGAAUGGAGGCAUUAUGUCAAAGGAAAGAACUUGAUGAAAAAUUGUUUUAUGAAACUUGAAUUUUGGCAUGUUUUCACGUUUUCAUUUGUCAGAACACAGA